CCUGGUUGAUUCUGCCAGUAGUCAUAUGCUUGUCUCAAAGAUUAAGCCAUGCAUGUCUAAGUAUAAGCAAUUACAAAGCGAAACUGCGAAUGGCUCAUUAUAUAAGUUAUCGUUUAUUUGAUAGUACCUUACUACAUGGAUAACCGUGGUAAUUCUAGAGCUAAUACAUGCUGAAAAUCCCGACUUCGGAAGGGAUGUAUUUAUUAGAUACAAAACCAAUGCCCUUCGGGGCUCUGAACCACUAAGUACUAUUGAAGAGCUUAGCGUGCCGGGGCGCGGCCGCAUGGUAGUAAGUUUAAAGAAGGGAUAGUUGAAAGCUACGAUGCCAUAACUCCUAGCAUGGUUGCAACGGGUGACGGAGGGUUAGGGCUCGACCCCGGAGAAGGAGCCUGAGAAACGGCUACUACAUCCAAGGAAGGCAGCAGGCGCGCAAAUUNNNNNNNNNNNNNNCCCAAUCCCGACUCGGGGAGGUAGUGACGAUAAAUACCGAUACAGGGCUCUUUUGGGUCCUGUAAUUGGAAUGAGUACAAUUCAAAUCCCUUAACGAGGAACAAUUGGAGGGCAAGUCUGGUGCCAGCAGCCGCGGUAAUUCCAGCUCCAAUAGCGUAUAUUAAAGUUGUUGUGGUUAAAAAGCUCGUAGUAGAAGCUCGGCCUCCGGUCGGCCGGUCCGCCUCACCGCGUGCACUGGUUCGGCCGGGGCUUCACCUUCUGCGGAUGGCGUAGAGGAAGUGACCCCCACAGCCCCUUUGUCCUGCAAAUGAAAGUUUUUUAAUCUCACGAGGUCCGUCCGGAUACGAGCUUAUGUAAUCGUAGGAAUAAUGGAAUAGGACGUGUGGUCUUAUUUCGUUGGUUUCUAGGACCGCCGUAAUGAUUAAUAGGGACAGUCGGGGGCAUCAGUAUUCAAUCGUCAGAGGUGAAAUUCUUGGAUCGAUUGAAGACUAACUACUGCGAAAGCAUUUGCCAAGGAUGUUUUCAUUUAUCAGGAACGAAAGUUAGGGGAUCGAAGACGAUCAGAUACCGUCGUAGUCUUAACCAUAAACUAUGCCGACUAGGGAUCGGACGGUGUUAUUUCUUGACCCGUUCGGCACCUUACGAGAAAUCAAAGUGCUUGGGCUCCAGGGGGAGUAUGGUCGCAAGGCUGAAACUUAAAGAAAUUGACGGAAGGGCACCACCUCCCCAUUUGCCUGACAAAUCGGCGUCAUUUGAGACGAGGACUUUCGGGCCCGAAAGGGUGUCCACCAACG
rnacentral:rRNA from 1 species